rnacentral:rRNA from 1 species
UACGUAGGUGGCAAGCGUUAUCCGGAAUUAUUGGGCGUAAAGCGCACGUAGGCGGCUUUUUAAGUCAGGGGUGAAAUCCUGGAGCUCAACUCCAGAACUGCCUUUGAUACUGAGAAGCUUGAGUCCGGGAGAGGUGAGUGGAACUGCGAGUGUAGAGGUGAAAUUCGUAGAUAUUCGCAAGAACACCAGUGGCGAAGGCGGCUCACUGGCCCGGUACUGACGCUGAGGUGCGAAAGCGUGGGGAGCAAACAGG